GAAGCAGGAUAGCGACCAAAUCACGCUGUGAGGUUAAGGAAGACGGCUGAAGAGAUUGAAGAGCUUUGAUGCAGAGGAAAGAACUACUUACACAAAGUAACAAGACCAGGAAACACAUACAAGGGUUUGGACAUGGGUUACCCAUAAUACCGCAUAGCUGUUGGUUACUGUAUGAAAUGCAUCAAAAGGAAAUGCCAAGAUUUUUUUCAGGGUGGGCCGAUCUCGUCUGCAGUGGCUGGACGUGAAUGUGACCCCAACAACUCCACGGCUAUUACCAGUCGCCAGCCAGCCCUCCUCAUAGUAGCGCUUUCUGCACACUGGUUUCUCCUUCUGACUCUUAGGUACCCGGCCCUUCCAGGACAGGCACAGGAUGUUGGAGUCACUACAGAGCACCGGACCAUGCUCCACAGCAGCAAACAUCACUGCUGCUCUACUGCUUUCUAUUCCACCUGAACAAGAACAAAAGAUCCAGAAGAUGGUUCUUUGUAGGAGUUUACGUAUAUCUACGGACACCUCUCUCUGCUGAAGUUAAUGAUUUGGUGUUGAAUGAGAGACUGACACAAUGCUGCAUAGUACUUGCACUUUCCCUUGACUCCUUGAUCUGCAACAG